ACACUCUAUUCUUUCUUUCACUAAGCUGCUGAAUUUUUUCUUUUUGCAGAAAAUCAACUAUGCACAGGAUUAAGUUGCAAUAGUGCCCUUGUGACUCAUGUCAAAAAUACACGAUCCUUAGGACAGUGUGAGGAGCUUACAAAACAGCAUCAUGGUAGUUCAUUGCCAUCCUGUGGAAAUGUGACGGAAAGAAAGAAACAUGCAGUACUUCAUAAGUCAAAAACUCAACCUAAUAUAAAGGAUUUUGAUAAAAAAUGUGGGUCAUUGAAUCUGCCUAAACAUGGUAUCAACAGGGGCAGCAACCCCAAUGAUACAAAUUUGCAGGAAGAUUCAAAUGACUUGUGUCACAUGAUUCCCUCACCUCUUAAAUAUAGCAGUGAAAGUAAGACAGAUUUUAAGAAGCUGCUGAAGCCUGAAGAAACACUUUAUGAUGCUGAUAUGGAGUUGACUGCCAGUGAUGCUGGUGAACUACUCACAGUUACAGCAAAAGACAAUUAUAAAUUGCACCAAAAUAAAAUUAGUAAUGCCAAUUCUGACAAAAUAUUAGCAAAGUUCAGAAAGGUAAAAUAUUCUAAGAAGGAUAAAGAAAAAAUCAAAAGCAAGACUGAAGUUGAUUCAAAUUUAUGUGCAGAAGAAAGGCACACUGCGGCUGACAAUAGUGAAACCUCAAAAACUGCUGACUCAGAAAUUCAGCUAUUCCAAAGUCAGACAGAACAGCUACCUACAGGAGAUUCUGCAGAGAAACAGAGUAAAACAAGUAAAGCUAAAGAUAGGAGGAGGAUGUACCAGGUUAAUGUAGUGAGUCCAAGAAAACAGGAAACAAAUGAAGAAACUUUCUCAGAAAUGUCUGGAGACAUGGAAAGCAAAAUUCAAAAGGCAAACUCAAGCUCGCCUCUUAACAAGAUCCCACCAGAAGUUUAUUGUACUGAAAAUUUGCCAUUCCAAGAUAAUACUUGUAAGGUGUUUCCUUUACAGGGUGACUUUCUAAAUACAAAUGAGAAAGAUAGCAGACCAACAAAAAAUAGGAAAACUUUUCAAAACCCUUCCAAAGCAAACACAGCAAAAUCCUGUGGAGGGGAAAAUGGCCAGGAUGAAGAAUAUAUUUCAAAAAAAUCUCAAACAGAGAUAUACCAACUUGACAGCAAGACAAAACAAACCCAUAAAAAUAUUAUAAAGAGAAAAGACAAUAAAAAAAGUAGUUACAGACAAAGUAGAGAAAGUGCAAAUGACAGCAUUCAUAAAAUUAAUCAGAAAGUAGACCAAAAGAGAAGCCCUUGUUCGCCAGGCAGAUUAAAACGUACAUUGGCAAAGGCUGGCCGGAAAACAUACAUUAUACCAAAGGGAAAGCUUACACUGUUCUCAGCUUGUAAAAAUCAAGAAUUAAAAAAUAAGGAUUCAUUGCAUGCAGAGGCUGGAAAUAAAGUACCAGAAACUCAGCAAACACAAGUAGCUUUAGUUACUCACGAUGGUGUAGCUCUGAAUACACCCCAAGCUAAAGAACAAGUUGAUGAUGAUGCUAACAUGUUAAAGAAAGCAGGUUUCUCAGCAGUGGCAACUAAACCCCUCCCCAUUAGUAGUUCUUCUGGUAAUCAGGUAAAGCAGAAACAGAGAUUUAGUUCUGAUAAUACUGAGACCAGACAAGAAAAAAGUUAUUUCAGGCCUAUUGAUCUGGGCAGGCAGAAUAUUUUGGAUGAUCAGGAAGUCCCUCAUGAAAUAGGUUCCUUUAUGAGUAAAUUAAAGCCUGUUAUUCAAGUUGAAUGUUCUAAGAAUAUGUCAUUAAAUGUAGAUAGCUUUUCCCAGGAAGGUCUUUCCAAUGUGGGGCUCCCAGCUCUCGAUAAUCAAAAUACUUCUGUCAACUUCUCCAUACUGAAAGACUCUGAAAUCCAUGGGGAAAAUGAUCAUAAUGAAGUACUGAAUGCUGAAAAAGCAGAACAAAAUCUGGACCAUAUUUCUAAAGAGAGUUACAAAAAUGCUCUGACACCUUGUCAUGGGAGAAAGGCUUUCCAAGAUCUGACAAAUACUGGUAUACAAUCUCACGCCUUUGUACCUAAAUCCCCCAAAACUUUAGAAGAAAACUCAGCAGCACCAUCCAGACGAGGAAGACCCGCUAUUUGCUACAAAGAACCCAAUCUACACAGCAAAUUAAGGCGUGGGGAUCGCUUUACAGACACGCAAUUUCUGUGUUCCCCAGUCCGUAAAGUAAAAAAUAAAACAAGUUUUAAAAGUAAAUCAAAAUUUAUUUGAAGAAGACAAAAGAAUUGCCUUUAUGAGCAAUACUUCUAAAAUGGGUACAAUUGUUUAUGUGUGUAUAUAUAUGUUUAGCAAUAUAGAGUGCUUAUUGUUCUUUGAUUAGUAAAGUUCUUCCAAAGUGAAAUUUUCUGAAAAAGAGCCUCUGAAAAAGGGCACAGAAUACUUCACUGAGGAAGGUAUAUACAUGUUAGGUUCCACUCAUGUUUUGCAUUUCUGGUCAGUAAUUUAUAAUUUAUUCAAAGUGUUUGCAGCACUUCUUAAAUUGUAAGAAAAGUGUAUGUUUUAAUGUAAAUUGAAAAUAAACUAGCUUUGGGAAUUUUAAUGUGAGUUUCU
ensembl:lncRNA